CAGAUAAGUCGAGAACCGUAUGUUUUGGUCGGACCGGAUCACUGCAAUUUUGCAAUUAACAGCUCCGAUUACCGCAAUUAGUGCAUUUAGUGUUUCCGUUUUCUAAAAUUCACCUCAGAAUGCGGAAUUUACAAUAUUUGGUGCUAGUGUUCAUCCUCUGCAUGCUCGCGACGCUGAUACACGGAGACGUCGAGAACUAUCAAAAAUGCAAUUCACACAGCAUGUACGGGUGUCCGGACCUCACAACGUGCACGGAGUCUGGCGAGUGCAGGUGCUGGCGGGACUAUAUCUACAACCCGGCACACGAGAAAAACGCCUCGGCUGAGUACUGCAUUUAUAAGCCAAGCAAGACGCCAGCCGGAGGAGCGUCGGGUACCGGAUCCACCCCCUCCUUGUCGGGUAGCAAAACCGCGUCGGCGAUAUCGCAACACGAGCCUCCCGGCGCUCACCAUCUAAUCGGCGGAAUUGUGAUCCCCGUAGUGUUCGUAUUAGCCGCGAUUGGUGUCGUUUAUUUAGUGAAACGUUUCAAUUUGAUUAGACGCGCGCGGGAAGCGUUCACGCGAAGAAAUCGUCCCUUUUAUGAGGAUGUGAUGAUGGGAAACGACAACGAUGAUCCUCCGCUGAUUUAAGGGAUUUCGAGUGGAUUGUAUGCAACUUCAAUAAAUUUCCCCCUGCUGCCUUCAGCACAAUCAGCAACGGAUCAACAGGUUUGAGGCGUAUAGUAAAAUAUACUUUUUAUACUAAGCACACGUUGCAUCGUCGAAGACAUCAUCACCUUUCCUAAAACAGCAAGUGAGUGGUUAAAAAUCGCUUCAGAUUUUGAUGAGAAGUGGCAAUUUCCUCACUGUUUGGGGGCGAUCGAUGGAAAGCAUGUCCGGAUUGUUCAACCCAAGGAUAGCGGUUCCUAC
rnacentral:misc_RNA from 1 species